UACUAUGAACAACAAAUUCAAUCCUGAGUUGUCAAGGGUGCUGCUACGAUUUCAACAAAAAAUUUCAAUCAAAAUGAAUUUGUGUGUUAAAUGUUUGGUUUUGUUCGUUGGAAUCAUUUUGGUGACAGUGAAUUAAUCAUAUGUUGAUAAGACAAAAAAAUGUGGAAAAAAUGAAGAGUUCGUAGUAGAUUCUCAAGUUCCUUGUCAAAAGAUCUGUACUUUGAUCAACUUUGAUUGCUGCAUGGAGAAUGCAACGGUGCCAGUGAGUAAGUGCUUUUGCAAAAAGGGCUAUGCUAGAGACGUUAACCGAAUGUGCAUUCCGGUCAAUUCUACACAGUGUAAAAAAGAAGUUAUGAAAGAGCCAUGCUCACCUUGUGGAAGAAUUGUCGACUGCGGCCCGUUUUACUAAUAAUUUGAUUGACUUUUCUGGUCAAAAAAUGUUUAUCCGCAAGUAGUAUCUAAAAUUUUGUAAUAUUCCAAUGUUUAGUUACCAAUAUUUUAAGUAAUUGCUUUCAAUAAACUGCCAAAUCGGUUUCGUUGAGUUUCUAUCUUAAUUAGA